rnacentral:lncRNA from 1 species
GCAUGUGCAAACUGGCCAGCAUUUCAAAUGCUGCUCUGAUUCUUCAUCUCAAACCCCCACAUAUUCCAUAGGUGAAGGUGGCACUGACUGCAAUUGCAAGGCAAUUCUGGAAGAGUCACCAGAGGCGGAAGAGGCAUCAGAGGACACAGACCUGCUGGGGUAAUGAGCUAAAGCCUUCUGAAGGUGAAUACUGAGAAGAUACCACCAAUGUCAUCAUGCCAACAUCAUCUUGACCUCUGAUUAGGCACUGGAGCCACUCAAACUCUAUCAAAGGCUUCUAUGCUGUCUCCUGGUCUUUUAAGUGACUGACUGAAAAGAAGUGAAUGAGUAUUAUUCUAGUAAAGUGAACCUUCUCUGUCAGAUAUCUUCAAGCUGCUGAGAAGAUCUUGAGGAGACAGCCUGAGGUAGGAACAGUAAGGACAGCAAAGAUCACAACUCUUCUGGCUCUUCUGCAAGUGCUCCCAGAUGGCAGCUCCUACCUCUGGCCACUGGUACUCUGGAUCCCUGUUUGCUACCCUUGUUCUCAUUGCUGCCUGGCCUCAAGAGAGAAACCUUCCCAACUGGUGAUCAGCUUGGUGCAACCACAGUCCCUCUUAGCUGCUGCUGAUUUUCCUUUGGCCAUUUCUGAGAAUUUCUGGAGUGAGUUUGCUAGUUCUACAAAGAUCUCUCAAACUGUCCAGUCAUUAGAGACCGUGGAAGGAUUACAUUUGGAUAAAAACCAAAAUACCACAAAAUCCAGUGGAAGGCUUGACCCUGAAGUGUUGAAAACGUGAUUGUGGAGUGAAGCACAAACGUUCUGGACUUCAACCAGGACUUCGCUUUUCAUAUACAACUGCCUGGUUUCAGCACGUGAUGGAUCUCAACUUGCAAAUGGCAGAGUACUCAUAGCCAGGUGAGGACUGAUUUUGCCAGCCUCUGAUGACCUCUCAGCAGCACCAAGUGAGGGCACACUCCUGCUCUGCUGUCUUCCCCAUCGCCACUGCCGCCUAGAGGUUGUGCUUUGCAAAACCUUAGCAAUUAUCAGUGCUGUUCGAAAAGCCCGUGCAACAUCUGGAGCAAAAGGUGGUUUCCCAGGGGACAAGAAAUCAUGGAAAUUUUCCUGUUUGUAUUUCUGGAGAACAGGGGGUGAAAAUUUUUGUUUGAAACCACAAAUUUCAGGGUGGCGGAGCCAUAAAGCAACUUUCACUCAGCCCAGGGUCACAGCUUCUGACCCCUCAGGCACAGCACGG